GCCACCGGGAACAUCUCCAUGGAGCCGUAGAUCAGUGGGGCGAUGCAGACGAGCCCUGUACUGAUCAUGGAGAUAACCAGGUAGCUGAUGUUGUUGCGGGGCAGUGCCAAGAAGCAGAAGACUGUCGGGAUGAUGCUGAGCAGAUGUUUUAGGGCCCAGGGACCAGGAACUUUAAAACCAGCUGACGCCUGAAGCAGUCCACUGGUGAAAAGGUAGAAGGUGCAUCAGAUCCAGAAAGGGAAAUCAGUUAUGCCUUUUUUUUCUCCAUCAAAUAACUUCCAUACCCAUUAAACAAUAUUAACAUUUUAAAUAUACUUAAAAUGUAGAAUGUCUAGAACACAGCAGCCUUUUCACAAUAAAAUGUAGUUCAGUGUGUCUGAACCCCUCAUCUUCUAUGCGAACUGUGACUUCUCAUAUGAAAAAAGGCUGUUUUCUUUGUUACAAAGAUUUUAAAAUGACCUACAAUGUAAACUAUUGAUGCAUUUCCUCAUACAUUAGUCGGAAAUGCACUGAUUGACAUUGUUACAGAAAUUUUAAUAUAACAAACAGGCUUUUCGGGUGAGAAGUCAUAUAAAAGAAGGGUUCAACCACACUGAACAUUUUAUUGUGGAAAGGCUGUUAUGUUCUAGACAUUCUAUUUUUCUCAAGCAUGUUUAAAUGUUAAUCUGGUUUAAUGGGUAUGGAAGGUUUUUUUGGUACUUGUGAUAAAACUUUGACAUUUGACUAGAAGUCUUGUUUUUUUUUUUUUUGGUUAUUUACCUCUGUGUAAAUGUGACUCAAUUAUACAUUUUUCACACCAGACAACAAUAAACUUCAUUUGACUGCA